UUUUUGUAGACUUCAAUCGAAUACAGAAUUGAAACAUUUUUUUAAACUUGUAAUAGCUAAAUGUUUUUUGAACAUCAAUAAAAGCUGGAAAACUUUGGUCUAUAGUCUUUUCUUCUUUAAUUGAUAGGAUUCGUGUUGGGUGGGUCCCCCAUCUAGUUAAAUUCGUGCACUAAACUUUUUUUUCUAGUUUUUGUAGACUUCAAUCGAAUACAGAAUUCAGACGAUCAAGGAAAUGUCACAGAAUAUCACGUGAAAGACAUUUCAAUUCAUGAUAUUGAAGACUAUGCCUUUCAUUUUGAACUUGUAAUAGCUUGCAUGUAAAACUAUAUUAAGCUUGUACUAGCGAGUCAUUGUUGAAUACAGGUCUAAAAAUCUUAACGUAUAUCGACUUAAAGAUUCAAUUCAUGAUGUCCUCCUUUCCAGGCUGAACGAAAUAAGAACUUCAAGAUCUGUAAGAUUACCGAAAUUUCUCAACUGUAUAAUAGUUAAAUGUUUGUUGAACGUCAAUAAAAACUCUAAAACUUUGGUCUAUAUUCUUUUCUUCUCUAUUUGAUCGGAUUAGUAUUAAGGGUGGGUCCACACAACUAUUUUAAAUUCUCACACUAAACAUUUUCUCUAGUUUGUUAUAGACUUCGACCGAAUACAGUAUUCAGAAGAUAUCAUGUGAAAAGACAUUUUCAAUUCAACAUAUCCAAGAUUACCAUUUUGUUAAACUUGUAAUAUAAUUUGUAAAAAGUUGUAAUAGUGAAUCAUUGUUGAAUGAAGGUCUCAGAUAUUCAUGGAUUUCAACUUGAAAGACGAUCUAAUUCAUGAUGUCCUCCUGACUGAAUCAAACCAGGAAAGUUACUCAGUUUUCUGAGACUUGUAAUAGCUAAAUGUCUGUUAAACAUCAAUAAAAACUCUAAAACUUUGUCUAGUCUUGUCCUCUCUAAUUUGUAGUAUAUUAGUACUAGUGCCCCAAUUAUUUAAAUUCGCAUAUUAACAUUUCUAGUUUUUCUUUAGAUUUUCAGUCGAUUCUCAGAAUAUAGAAGUUCAAGAAGCUUGUACGUGUUUCUUGACAAUGGUGACUUGGAACAAGUUGAAAUUCCACGAUGUGUUCGAAACUUUACAAAAGAUUUAGAUAUAUUAUGUAAACUUUCUAAAACCUGUAUAGAUAAAUGUUUGAAUCUAAAUAAAAACUGGAAAACG